UCCAAAGGUAGAUGUUGGGUUGGCGUAUUUCGAGAUUAGGAUUUGUCACUCCGAUUGUCGGAGAGGUAUCUCUGGGCCCUCUCGGUAAUGCACAUCACUUAAGCCUUGCAAGCAUUACAACUAAUGAGUUAGUUGCGAGAUGAUGUAUUACGGAACGAGUAAAGAGACUUGCCGGUAACGAGAUUGAACUAGGUAUUGGAUACCGACGAUCGAAUCUCGAGCAAGUAACAUACCGAUGACAAAGGGAACAACGUAUGUUGUUAUGCGGUCUGACCGAUAAAUAUCUUCGUAGAAUAUGUAGGAGCCAAUAUGGGCAUCCAGGUCCCGCUAUUGGUUAUUGACCGGAGACGUGUCUCGGUCAUGUCUACAUUGUUCUCGAACCGUAGGGUCCGCACGCUUAAGGUUUCGAUGACAGUUAUAUUAUGAGUUUAUGAGUUUUGAUGUACCUAAGGAGUUCGGAGUCCCGGAUGAGAUCGGGGACAUGACAAGGAGUCUUGAAAUGGUGGAGACGUAAAGAUCGAUAUAUUGGACGACUAUAUUCGGACAUCGGAAAGGUUCCGAGUGAUUCGGGUAUUUUUCGGAGUACCGGGUAGUUACGGGAGAAGUAAUGGGCCUUGAUGGGCUUUAGUGGGAAGAGGAAAAGGCUGCUGCGCCCCCCCUCCCCUUUGGUCCGAAUUGGACUAGGGAAAAGGGGGCCGGCCACCUCUCCUUCUCCUCCUAUUCCUUCUCCCUUCCUCCCCUCUUGAUGGACUCCUACUAGGACUUGGAGUCCUAGUAGGACUCCCAUCCUGGCCGCACCUUAUGGCUUGGCCGGCCUCCUCCUCCUUCAUCCUUUAUAUACAGGGGCAGGGGGCACCCCAUAGACACACAAGUUGAUCAUUGUUGAUCGUUCCUUAGCCGUGUGCGGUGCCCCCUGCCACCAAAUUCCACCUCGAUCAUACCGUUGUAGUGCUUAGGCGAAGCCCUGCGUCGGUAGUACAUCAAGAUCGUCACCACGCCGUCGUGCUGACGGAACUCCUCCCCGAAGCUUUGCUGGAUCGGAGCCCGGGGAUCGUCAUCGAGCUGAACGUGUGCUAAGAACUCGGAGGUGCCGGAGUAACGGUGCUUGGAUCGGUCGGAUCGGGAAGAAGACGUACGACUACUUCCUCUACGUUGUGUCAACGCUUCCGUUGCGAUCUACAAGGGUACGUAGAUCAGACUCUCCCCCUCGUUGCUAUGCAUCACCAUGAUCUUGCGUGUGCGUAGGAAAUUUUUUGAAAUUACUACGUUCCCCAACAGUGGCAUCCGAGCCUAGGUUUUAUGGUUUGAUGUUAUAUGCACGAGUAGAACACAAGUGAGUUGUGGGCGAUAUAAGUCAUACUGCCUACCAGCAUGUCAUACUUUGGUUCGGCGGUAUUGUCGGAUGAAGCGGCCCGGACCGACAUUACGCGUACGCUUACGCGAGACCGGUUUCCCCGACGUGCUUUGCACAUAGGUGACUUGCGGGUGACUGUUUCUCCAACUUUAGUUGAACCGAGUGUGGCUACGCCCGGUCCUUGCGAAGGUUAAAACGGAGUCUAUUUGACAAACUAUCGUUGUGGUUUUGAUGCGUAGGUGAGAUUGGUUCUUGCUUAAGCCCGUAGCAGCCACGUAAAACUUGCAACAACAAAGUAGAGGACGUCUAACUUGUUUUUGCAGGGCAUGUUGUGAUAUGAUAUGGUCAAGACGUGAUGAGAUAUAAGUUGUUGUAUGAGAUGAUCAUGUUUUGUUGAAGUUAUCGGCAACUGGCAAAACCUUAUGGUUGUCUCUUUAUUGCAUAAGAUGCAAGCGCCAAAUAAUUGCUUUACUUUAUCGCUAUGCGAUAGCAAUAGUUGCAAGAGCAAUAGUUGGCGAGACGACCGUGUGACGACACAUUGAUAUAGAUCAAGAUGAUGGAGAUCAUGGUGUCAUGCCGGUGAUGACAGAGAUCAUGACAGUACUUUGGAGAUGGAGAUCAAAGAAGCAAGAUGAUGAUGGCCAUAUCAUGUCACAUAUUUUGAUUGCAUAUGAUGUUUAUCUUUUAUACAUCUUAUUUUUGCUUUGAUUGACGGUAGCAUUAUAAGAUGAUCUCUCACUAAAUUAUCAAGAAGUGUUCUCCCUGAGUAUGCACCGUUGUGAAAGUUCUUCGUGCUGAGACACCACGUGAUGAUCGGGUGUGAUAGGUUCUACGUUCAAAUACAACGGGUGCAAAACAGUUGCACACGCGGAAUACUCAGGUUAUACUUGACGAGCCAAGCAUAUACAGAUAUGGCCUCGGAACACAGAGACCGAAAGGUCGAGCGUGAAUCAUAUAGUAGAUAUGAUCAACAUAACGAUGUUCACCAUUGAAAACUACUCCAUCUCACGUGAUGAUCGGUUAUGGUUUAGUUGAUUUGGAUCACGUGAUCACUUAGAGGAUUAGAGGGAUAUCUAUCUAAGUGGGAAUUCUUAAGUAAUAUGAUUAAUUGAACUUAAAUUUAUCAUGAACUUAGUCCUGGUAGUAUUUUGCAAAUUAUGUUAUAGAUCAAUAGCUCGCGUUGUUGCUUCCCUGUGUUUAUUUUGAUAUGUUCCUAGAGAAAAUUAUGUUGAAAGAUGUUAGUAGCAAUGAUGCGGAUUGGAUCCGUGAUAUGAGGUUUAUCCUCAUUGCUGCACAGAAGAAUUAUGUCCUUGAUGCACCGCUAGGUGACAGACCUAUUGCAGGAGCAGAUGCAGACGUUAUGAACGUUUGGCUGGCUCAAUAUGAUGACUACUUGAUAGUUUAGUGCACCAUGCUUAAUGGCUUAGAAUCGGGACUUCAAAGACGUUUUGAACGUCAUGGACCAUAUGAGAUGUUCCAGGAGUUGAAGUUAAUAUUUCAAGCAAAUACCCGAGUUGAGAGAUAUGAAGUCUCCAACAAGUUCUAUAGCUAAAAGAUGGAGGAGAAUCGCUCAACUAGUGAGCAUGUGCUCAGAUUGUCUGGGUACUACAAUCGCUUGAAUCAAGUGGGAGUUAAUCUUCCAGAUAAGAUAGUGAUUGACAGAAUUCUCUAGUCACCAUCACCAAGUUAGUAGAACUUCGUGAUGAACUAUGAUAUGCAAGGGAUAACGGAAACGACUCCCAAGCUCUUCGUAAUGCGGAAAUUGACGAAGGUAGAAAUCAAGAAAAACAUCAAGUGUUGAUGGUAGACAAGACCACUAGUUUCAAGAAAAGGGCAGAGGGAAGAAGGGGAACUUCAAGAAGAACGGCAAGCGAGUUGCUGCUCAAGUGAAGAAGCCCAAGUCUGAUCCUAAGCCUGAGAAUAAGUGCUUCUACUGCAAAGGGACUGGUCACUGGAAGCGGAACAACCCCAAGUGAUUGGCGGAUAAGAAGGAUGGCAAAGUGAACAUAAGUAUAUUUGAUAUACAUGUUAUUGAUGUGUACUUUACUAGUGUUUAUAGCAACCCCUUAGUAUUUGAUGCUAGUUCAGUUGCUAAGAGUAGUAACUCGAAACGGGAGUUGCAGAAUGAACAGAGACUAGUUAAGGGUGAAGUGACGAUGUGUGUUGGAAGUGGUUCCAAGAUUGAUAUGAUCAUCAUCGCACACUCCCUAUACUUUCGGGAUUAGUGUUGAACCUAAAUAAGUGUUAUUUGGUGUUUGCAUUGAGCAUGAAUAUGAUUUGAUCAUGUUUAUUAUAAUACGGUUAUUCAUUUAAGUAAAAGAAUAAAUUGUUGUUCUGUUUACAUGAAUAAAACCUUAUAUGGUUAGACACCCAAUGGAAAUAGUUCAUUGGAUCUCGAUCUUAAUAAUACACAUAUUCAUAAUAUUGAAACCAAAAGAUGCGAAGUUAAUAAUGAUAGUGCAACUUAUUUGUGGCACUGCCGUUUAAGUCAUAUUGGUGUAAAGCGCAUGAAGAAACUCCAUGCUGAUGGGAUUUUGGAAUCACUUGAUUAUGAAUCACUUGAUGCUUGCAAACCAUGCCUUAUGGGAAAGAUGACUAAACGCCGUUCUCCGGAACAAUGAAGCAAGCAACAGAUUUGUUGAAAAUCAUACAUACUGAUGUAUGUGGUCCGAUGAAUAUUAAGGCUUGCAGCAGGUAUCAUUAUUUUCUGACCUUCACAGAUGAUUUGAGCAGAUAUGGGGAUAUCUACUUGAUGAAACAUAAGUCUGAAACAUUUGAACAGUUCAAAGAAUUUCAGAGUGAAGUGGAAAAACCGUCGUGACAAGAAAAUAAAAGUUUCUACGAUAUGAUCGCAGAGGUAAAAUGUUUGAGUUACGAGUUUGGUCUUCAGUUAAAACAAUGCGAAAUAGUUUCACUACUCACGCCACCUGGAACACCACAGCAUAAUGGUGUGUCCGAACGUCAUAACCGUACUUAUUGGAUAUAGUGCAAUCUAUGAUGUUUCUUACCGAUUUACCACUAUCGUUUUGGGGUUAUGCAUUAGAGACAGCUGCAUUCACGUUAAAUAGGGCACCAUCUAAAUCCGUUGAGACGACACCGUGUGAACUAUGGUUUGGCAAGAAACCUAAGCUGUCGUUUCUUAAAGUUUGGGGUUGCGAUGCUUAUAUGAAAAAGUUUCAUCCUGAUAAGCUCAAACUCAAAUCGGAGAAGUGCGUCUUCAUAGGAUAUCCAAAGGAAACUAUUGGAUACCUUCUAUCACAGAUCCAAAGGCAAGACUUUUGUUGCUAAAAUUCGGAAACUUUCUGGAGAAGGAGUUUCUCUCGAAAGAAGUGAGUGGGAGGAAAGUAGAACUUGACGAGGUAACUGUACCUGCUCCCUUAUUGGAAAGUAGUACAUCACAGAAAACUGUUUCUGUGACACCUACACCAGUUAGUGAGGAAGCUAAUGAUGAUGAUCAUGAAACUUCAGAACAAGAUACUACUGAACCUCGUAGAUCAACCAGAGUAAGAUCCGCGCCAGAGUGGUACGGUAAUCCUUUUCUGGAAGUCAUGCUACUAGAUCAUGAUGAACCUACGAACUAUGAGCAAGCGAUGAUGAGCCCAGAUUCCGCGAAAUGGUUUGAGGCCAUGAAAUCUGAGAUAUGAUCCAUGUAUGAGAACAAAGUAUGGACUUUGAUGGAUUUUCCCGAUGAUCGGCAAACCAUAGAAAAUAAAUGGAUCUUCAAGAGGAAGACGGAUGCUGAUAGUAGUGUUACUAUCUACAAAGCUAGAAUUGUCAAAAAAGGUUUUCGACAAGUUCAAGGUGUUGACUACGAUGAGUUUUUCUCACUCGUAUCUAUGCUUAAGUCUGUCUGAAUCAUGUUAGCAAUUGCCGCAUUUUAUGAAAUCUGGCAAAUGGAUAAACAAAACUGCAUUCCUUAAUGGAUUUAUUAAAGAAGAGUUGUAUGUGAUGCAACUAGAAGGUUUUGUCAAUCCGAAAGGUGCUAACAAAAUGUGCAAGCUCCAGCGAUCCAUCUGUGGACUGGUGCAAGCAUCUCGGAGUUGGAAUAUACGCUUUGAUAAGUUGAUCAAAGCAUAUAGUUUUAUACAGACUUGCGGUGAAGCCUGUAUUUACGAGAAAGUGAGUGGGAGCACUACAGCAUUUCUGAUAAGUAUAUGUGAAUGACAUAUUGUUGAUCGGAAAUAAUGUAGAAUUAUUCUGUAAAGCAUAAAAGGAGUGUUUGAAAGGAGUUUUUCAAAGAAAGACUUCGAUAAAGCUGCUUACAUAUUGAGCUUCAAGAUCUAUAGAGAUAGAUCAAGACGCUUGAUAAGUUUUUCAAUAAGUACAUACCUUGACAAGAUUUUGAAGUAGUUCAAAACGGAACAGUGAAAGAAAAAGUUUCUUGCCUGUGUUACAAGGUGUGAAGUUGAGUAAAGACUCAAAGCCCGACCACGGCAGAAGAUAGAAAGAGAAUGAAAGUCAUUCCCUAUGCCUCAUUCAUAGGUUCUAUAAAGUAUGCCAUGCUGUGUACCAGAUCUAUUGUAUACCCUGCACUGAUUUGGUAAGGGAGUACAAUAGUGAUCUAGGAGUAGAUCACUGGACAGCGGUCAGAAUUAUCCUUAGUGAAAUAAGGAUGUGUUUCUUGAUUAUGGAUGUGACAAAAAGGUUCGUCGUAAAGGGUUACGUCGAUGCAAGUUUUUUACACUGAUCCAGAUGAAUCUAAAGUCACAAUCUGGAUACAUAUUGAAAGUGGGAGCAAUUAGGUAGAGUAGCUCCGUGCAGAGCAUUAUAGACAAAGAAUUUUGCAAAAUACUUACGGAUCUGAAUGUGACAGACCUGUUGACUAAAAUUAUCUCACAAGCAAAAACAUGAUCACACCUUAGUACUCUUUGGGUGUUAAUCACAUAGAGAUGUGAACUAGAUUACUGACUCUAGUAAACCCUUUGAGUGUUGGUCACAUGACGAUGUGAACUAUUGGUGUUAAUCACAUGGUGAUGUGAACUAUUGCUGCUAAAUCACAAGGCGAUGUGAACUAGAUUAUUGACUCUAGUGCAAGUGGGAGACUGAAGGAAAUAUGCCCUAGAGGCAAUAAUAAAGUUAUUAUUUAUUUCCUUAUAUCAUGAUAAAUGUUUAUUAUUCAUGCUAGAAUUGUAUUAACCGGAAACAUAAUACAUGUGUGAAUACAUAGACAAACAGAGUGUCACUAGUAUGCCUCUACUUGACUAGCUCGUUAAUCAAAGAUGGUUAUGUUUCCUAACCAUGGACAAAAGAGUUGUUAUUUGAUUAACGAGGUCACAUCAUUAGUUGAAUGAUCUGAUUGACAUGACCCAUUCCAUUAGCUUAGCACACGAUCGUUUAGUAUGUUGCUAUUGCUUUCUUCAUGACUUAUACAUGUUCCUAUGACUAUGAGAUUAUGCAACUCCCGUUUGCCGGAGGAACACUUUGGGUGCUACCAAACGUCACAACGUAACUGGGUGAUUAUAAAGGAGCAUUACAGGUGUCUCCAAAGGUAGAUGUUGGGUUGGCGUAUUUCGAGAUUAGGAUUUGUCACUCCGAUUGUCGGAGAGGUAUCUCUGGGCCCUCUUGGUAAUGCACAUCACUUAAGCCUUGCAAGCAUUACAACUAAUGAGUUAGUUGCGAGAUGAUGUAUUACGGAACGAGUAAAGAGACUUGCCGGUAACGAGAUUGAACUAGGUAUUGGAUACCGACGAUCGAAUCUCGGGCAAGUAACAUACCGAUGACAAAGGGAACAACGUAUGUUGUUAUGCGGUCUGACCGAUAAAGAUCUUCG
rnacentral:lncRNA from 1 species